rnacentral:rRNA from 1 species
CAUCGCAUUCUAUUUUGUUGGUUUCUAGGAUCGAUGUAAUGAUUAAUAGGGAUAGUUGGGGGCAUUAGUAUUCAAUUGUCAGAGGUGAAAUUCUUGGAUUUAUUGAAGACUAACUACUGCGAAAGCAUUUGCCAAGGAUGUUUUCAUUAAUCAAGAACGAAAGUUAGGGGAUCGAAGACGAUCAGAUACCGUCGUAGUCUUAACCAUAAACUAUGCCGACUAGGGAUCGGAUGAUGUUGAUUUUUUAAUGACUCAUUCGGCACCUUACGGGAAACCAAAGUGUUUGGGUUCCGGGGGGAGUAUGGUCGCAAGGCUGAAACUUAAAGGAAUUGACGGAAGGGCACCACCAGGGGUGGAGCCUGCGGCUUAAUUUGACUCAACACGGGGAAA